rnacentral:lncRNA from 1 species
CGCCAACAGGGAGGGUAUUUAUUGACAUGCUCAGCAAAUGAUACAGCACCCGUAUUUCUGGCCACAGAGGAUCGAUUUUAUAUUAGAAUUCAAGCAAGAAUCGAUUCAUAGCACUAGUGGAGGUUUGAAACUCUCCUCUCUUUCCACGUGGCUGCAACAUUCAGGGUGGAGACCAUGGCAGAGAACAAUCAGAUGCACAGACCUGGUCAAGAAGCGGAAAGGUGUGAGCUCAUGAUUUCAUUUCCUUCAUACACGGAGCUGGCAGCCAGAAAUCCAGAGCAGAGUAAAGGGAAGGAGAAAAAGCAACCUCCUGGAAAUCAGUUGACAAACAGUAAUCAAAGGAGAAGAGCAAUAGUCUCCGGGCUCAGCAGUCAUGAAGAUCUUGGUUUUACUGCACCCAGAAUGGAGGUGUUUUAGCAAGAAACAGACCACCCUAGAAUCCCUAGCCCAGUCAGAACUUCACUGUGUGUACAGGCAAGUCAAAAACAGCACAGAGAGCUUAUCUAAAUGGAAUGGACACAGGUGGGGCAUGGGGAUACGGAGAGCAAAGGAGGACUGGAUUUCCUCUGGCAUUUGCCACUAGCCUGGUCAUAGUCCUCACUGUGGCCAAAGCAAGUCCCUUUGUCUUGAAAACUUAAUUUAAAAAAAAAAAAUGAUAAAGAUCCUUCAAGAAGAGUGAGAAGGAAAGUUGAGUAUCAGAGACAAUGCUUAAUUGCCUCAAGCACUUAAACUAGUGGAGUUCUUGCAGGAUCAGUGCCAUGAUUUCAUUCUGCAAAUAUUUGCCUUUCUUUGACUUAUUGCCUUGAGUGUGAAUUCUGUUGUGUCAUAGAACCUGCUUUGUCUGAAUAACUCAAAACACAAAAACAUUUUCUAGGAUCAAUGGUUUUUAAAUUCACAUCUUUGACCAGC